GAAUCCAAGUAACAUAUCUGAAAAUGAACUUACACAGUCACAGAGUAGGGGCGGGUUCUAAAGCAAGAUGCUGAAACAAUAUAUUACCUGCAAGCUCAAAGGCAGAUCGUGAAUUCUGGUCGCGAGUGUCCGGAUUUCUCUAUCAGACAAGACACCAGACUGGUCUGUAUCUACUUCAUCAAAGACUCGAGAAAUAUUCAGGGGCUGGACUGCACUCAUGAGAUAAUAAAAAUACGAGAAGGCAAACUGCA